rnacentral:lncRNA from 1 species
CUUGCCCAGUUCUUAGAAACAGAGAUUUAGGCCUAGUCUCCUUAACUGCCAAUGUGAAGCCUGUCAUGGAAUCAGCCUAGCUUCCAUAGGCCUUCUCAGUACCUAUCAGAGCGAUUUGGAAUUUCAUGGUUCCAGGAAGUAGCUAAGUAAGUUCUGUAUUCAGCUCUUGUUCUAACUGGCAUAGAGUCCAAAGUGAGCAGGAGUAUUAAUCAAGGAGGAAGAGCCCGUGUAAAUGUGGAAAAACUCCAGGAUUGUGGCUUGGAGGUCACAAAAGUAAGUUGGAACUUCCAGGAACCUCUGCCUGAUGCUUCCAACUUCAAACACACCACCGACUUGCAGGGAACGCUGGCACAGUUGAUUAUUUUCUAAUGGACAUCUACCCAGGCUGAACCCCAGAAUAAUCUUUACUCCAUGGAGUGUGUAUGUGUGUAAAGGGUCCCAGAGGCAAGAUGGAGCCUACGACAACUUCCUGAGAACGAAGUUUUGAAAGCACAUACUUGCACUUCCACGAAAAUUUGUCACCAACACAGAGCCUUUGUCAGGUCUGACUGGCUACUUCAAUUCCUGCCUUGACGUCCUCCUAGUGAUGACCUCUAACCUGGAAUUGUAUGCCCAAUGACGGACCCCUUUCCUGACUUAAAGUUGUUUCUGUCAGGGUAUUUUAUUCCUUGACUCUGCUUUCAUGAUCUCGAGGAGAGACAAAUUACUGACUCCGAAGAGCUUCGCCAGCAGAAAGAUGGCACUCACUCACUGGCCUUCACCGAUGGGUUUCUAGUCUGUUCUGGGACGUGAAGAGCAGAAUUGAGACGCCUUCAGCACAUCCAUCUGCCCUGACAUUUGGAUGGGAGUUGGCUCUUGCUGUGACAGGAGCGAAACUGUAUUUUGAAACACCUGUUCUUCAAAUUCCAUGGCUAUGUAGGAUUCCCUAGAGGCUGAGAUAAUAAAAAAUGAUCAAACAAAAUCCUCUUUUUUGGGGGGGACAGGGUCUCCUUCUGUAGUCCAGUCUGCCCCGUGUGUGAGUCAGUACUUUCAGACUGUCCUUGAACUCAUGACAAUCCAGAACCAUCAAUCAGUCAAGCUCCUGGAUGCCUUGGUUACCUCACCAGACUCAAGAACACAGCUUUGAUGACUAGCCACAAGCCCCAACUCUUCAGAUAAUUUAUUGGGAGUUUUUGCACUGAUUCCUGGAGACACUAAACAUGAACUCUGCCCAUUUG